rfam:Asian citrus Psyllid, Diaphorina citri - Florida Strain, whole genome shotgun sequence.
GCCAGGGGUGGUAGCACGUUGAAUACAUCAGUUCCUAAUAGAUCACUGAAGUUAAGCAACGUUAUACGUGGUUAGUAUCGGGAUGGGCGACCGUCUGGGCAAUCGCUGCUGUUUUAAGGU